UACGAAGGGGGCUAGCGUUGCUCGGAAUCACUGGGCGUAAAGGGCGCGUAGGCGGAUCUUUAAGUCGGGGGUGAAAGCCCAGGGCUCAACUCCAGAACUGCCUUUGAUACUGACGGUCUUGAGUUCGGGAGAGGUGAGUGGAACUGCGAGUGUAGAGGUGAAAUUCGUAGAUAUUCGCAAGAACACCAGUGGCGAAGGCGGCUCACUGGCCCGAUACUGACGCUGAGGUGCGAAAGCGUGGGGAGCAAACAGG
rnacentral:rRNA from 1 species